AGCACACCUAUGGGAGAACAGCAGUAGGCACAGAUGGAGCGGCUGAAAUUCGGAGUUCAUCAGAAUGGGGAGCUCUUGGAGGCAAAGCUGCCGAACACCUGCUAAAUAACUGAUGUAGACUGAAUUGUGUCUCCUCCCCACCCGGCACACCCCCAAAGUCAUAUGUUGAAGCUCUAACCCUCAAUGGGACUGUAUUUGGAGACAAGACCUUUAAUGAUGUAAUUAAGGUUAAAUACAGUCCCCAGGAUGGGGCUCUAAUCUGAUAGGACUGGUGUCCUUAGAAGAGGAGGAAGAGACACCAGAGAUCUCUCUCUCUGCAUGCACCCAGAGGAAAGGCCGUGUGAGGACAUAGAGGGAAGGCGGUUGUCCACAAGCCUGGAAGACAGACCACACCAGAAACCAGCCCUGAUGGCGCCUUGAUCUUGGACUUUCAGCCUCCAGAACUGCUCUCCCUCCCGAUUCCCUGCCCUGCACUGGCUGAAUUUGGACCCCAGAGCUGCCUUUCGAAGUCUUCAUUCCCAACAAGCGUUCACGAAUUUCGUUGUCCUACCUGAAGGUUCAGGGAUCAUUGGCAGAAGACUGGGGGAUCAUGGAGAG
rnacentral:lncRNA from 1 species